UUAAGCGACUAAGCGUACACGGUGGAUGCCCUGGCAGUCAGAGGCGAUGAAGGACGUGCUAAUCUGCGAUAAGCGUCGGUAAGGUGAUAUGAACCGUUAUAACCGGCGAUUUCCGAAUGGGGAAACCCAGUGUGUUUCGACACACUAUCAUUAACUGAAUCCAUAGGUUAAUGAGGCGAACCGGGGGAACUGAAACAUCUAAGUACCCCGAGGAAAAGAAAUCAACCGAGAUUCCCCCAGUAGCGGCGAGCGAACGGGGAGCAGCCCAGAGCCUGAAUCAGUGUGUGUGUUAGUGGAAGCGUCUGGAAAGGCGCGCGAUACAGGGUGACAGCCCCGUACACAAAAAUGCACAUGCUGUGAGCUCGAUGAGUAGGGCGGGACACGUGGUAUCCUGUCUGAAUAUGGGGGGACCAUCCUCCAAGGCUAAAUACUCCUGACUGACCGAUAGUGAACCAGUACCGUGAGGGAAAGGCGAAAAGAACCCCGGCGAGGGGAGUGAAAAAGAACCUGAAACCGUGUACGUACAAGCAGUGGGAGCACGCUUAGGCGUGUGACUGCGUACCUUUUGUAUAAUGGGUCAGCGACUUAUAUUCUGUAGCAAGGUUAACCGAAUAGGGGAGCCGAAGGGAAACCGAGUCUUAACUGGGCGUUAAGUUGCAGGGUAUAGACCCGAAACCCGGUGAUCUAGCCAUGGGCAGGUUGAAGGUUGGGUAACACUAACUGGAGGACCGAACCGACUAAUGUUGAAAAAUUAGCGGAUGACUUGUGGCUGGGGGUGAAAGGCCAAUCAAACCGGGAGAUAGCUGGUUCUCCCCGAAAGCUAUUUAGGUAGCGCCUCGUGAAUUCAUCUCCGGGGGUAGAGCACUGUUUCGGCAAGGGGGUCAUCCCGACUUACCAACCCGAUGCAAACUGCGAAUACCGGAGAAUGUUAUCACGGGAGACACACGGCGGGUGCUAACGUCCGUCGUGAAGAGGGAAACAACCCAGACCGCCAGCUAAGGUCCCAAAGUCAUGGUUAAGUGGGAAACGAUGUGGGAAGGCCCAGACAGCCAGGAUGUUGGCUUAGAAGCAGCCAUCAUUUAAAGAAAGCGUAAUAGCUCACUGGUCGAGUCGGCCUGCGCGGAAGAUGUAACGGGGCUAAACCAUGCACCGAAGCUGCGGCAGCGACNAUGCUGGAGGUAUCAGAAGUGCGAAUGCUGACAUAAGUAACGAUAAAGCGGGUGAAAAGCCCGCUCGCCGGAAGACCAAGGGUUCCUGUCCAACGUUAAUCGGGGCAGGGUGAGUCGACCCCUAAGGCGAGGCCGAAAGGCGUAGUCGAUGGGAAACAGGUUAAUAUUCCUGUACUUGGUGUUACUGCGAAGGGGGGACGGAGAAGGCUAUGUUGGCCGGGCGACGGUUGUCCCGGUUUAAGCGUGUAGGCUGGUUUUCCAGGCAAAUCCGGAAAAUCAAGGCUGAGGCGUGAUGACGAGGCACUACGGUGCUGAAGCAACAAAUGCCCUGCUUCCAGGAAAAGCCUCUAAGCAUCAGGUAACAUCAAAUCGUACCCCAAACCGACACAGGUGGUCAGGUAGAGAAUACCAAGGCGCUUGAGAGAACUCGGGUGAAGGAACUAGGCAAAAUGGUGCCGUAACUUCGGGAGAAGGCACGCUGAUAUGUAGGUGAAGUCCCUCGCGGAUGGAGCUGAAAUCAGUCGAAGAUACCAGCUGGCUGCAACUGUUUAUUAAAAACACAGCACUGUGCAAACACGAAAGUGGACGUAUACGGUGUGACGCCUGCCCGGUGCCGGAAGGUUAAUUGAUGGGGUUAGCCGCAAGGCGAAGCUCUUGAUCGAAGCCCCGGUAAACGGCGGCCGUAACUAUAACGGUCCUAAGGUAGCGAAAUUCCUUGUCGGGUAAGUUCCGACCUGCACGAAUGGCGUAAUGAUGGCCAGGCUGUCUCCACCCGAGACUCAGUGAAAUUGAACUCGCUGUGAAGAUGCAGUGUACCCGCGGCAAGACGGAAAGACCCCGUGAACCUUUACUAUAGCUUGACACUGAACAUUGAGCCUUGAUGUGUAGGAUAGGUGGGAGGCUUUGAAGUGUGGACGCCAGUCUGCAUGGAGCCGACCUUGAAAUACCACCCUUUAAUGUUUGAUGUUCUAACGUUGACCCGUAAUCCGGGUUGCGGACAGUGUCUGGUGGGUAGUUUGACUGGGGCGGUCUCCUCCUAAAGAGUAACGGAGGAGCACGAAGGUUGGCUAAUCCUGGUCGGACAUCAGGAGGUUAGUGCAAUGGCAUAAGCCAGCUUGACUGCGAGCGUGACGGCGCGAGCAGGUGCGAAAGCAGGUCAUAGUGAUCCGGUGGUUCUGAAUGGAAGGGCCAUCGCUCAACGGAUAAAAGGUACUCCGGGGAUAACAGGCUGAUACCGCCCAAGAGUUCAUAUCGACGGCGGUGUUUGGCACCUCGAUGUCGGCUCAUCACAUCCUGGGGCUGAAGUAGGUCCCAAGGGUAUGGCUGUUCGCCAUUUAAAGUGGUACGCGAGCUGGGUUUAGAACGUCGUGAGACAGUUCGGUCCCUAUCUGCCGUGGGCGCUGGAGAACUGAGGGGGGCUGCUCCUAGUACGAGAGGACCGGAGUGGACGCAUCACUGGUGUUCGGGUUGUCAUGCCAAUGGCACUGCCCGGUAGCUAAAUGCGGAAGAGAUAAGUGCUGAAAGCAUCUAAGCACGAAACUUGCCCCGAGAUGAGUUCUCCCUGACUCCUUGAGAGUCCUGAAGGAACGUUGAAGACGACGACGUUGAUAGGCCGGGUGUGUAAGCGCAGCGAUGCGUUGAGCUAACCGGUACUAAUGAACCGUGAGGCUUAACCUU
rnacentral:rRNA from 1 species